AGUUUAUUUCUUUAGGAAUGAAAAGCGUAAAAGGGGGGGAAAUAAAGAAGAAAAAAAAGAAAAAAAAGGAGAGAAAAGACCUGUGUUGCUUGCAAUGAAGAUACCUUAGACAUCUAUCUAUCUACACUAUGUCUAUUUACUACGCUAAACUUCCAGAUACAAAAUUAGUUAUAGUUAUAUAUAUAUCGACAUAAUCAACCCUCGAACCCGCUAAAAUUCCAACCCACCUCUCCUCUAAGAUAGCAAGAAAGCACACACACACACACGCGCAUGCACGCACCCUUUCUCUUCCUCAACAAUGCAGUCCCAUCCAUCCUAUCUCCCCAAAACGAAACGCAAAAAAAAAAAAAAAAAAGAGAGAGAGCAAAGAACCAACCACCCGAAUAAUAGUAAUGGACCAUAGCCCCCUACGAAAACCUAACCCCCCGACUCGGGUCCCAC
rnacentral:sRNA from 1 species